CAGCAGCCACGGUAAUACAGAGGGUGCAAGCGUUAAUCGGAAUUACUGGGCGUAAAGCGCGCGUAGGUGGUUUGUUAAGUUGGAUGUGAAAGCCCCGGGCUCAACCUGGGAACUGCAUCCAAAACUGGCAAGCUAGAGUACGGUAGAGGGUGGUGGAAUUUCCUGUGUAGCGGUGAAAUGCGUAGAUAUAGGAAGGAACACCAGUGGCGAAGGCGACCACCUGGACUGAUACUGACACUGAGGUGCGAAAGCGUGGGGAGCAAACAGGAUUAGAUACCCGCGUAGUCCCUGUCUCUUAUAC
rnacentral:rRNA from 1 species